AUGGCCAUCGCGAGCCAGAAGAUCCCCGGCGCACAGAUCGGGCAGAGGCUCUUCUUCUGGCGCCCCGGAGACGCAGGCUGGGUGAUGCAGCUCGAGUACCCUAACGACAGGAUCGAAGGCGCGGCCUUCCACAACGGCAGAUUCUACAUGUCCACCAUCAACAUGUCCCUCGAUAUUUUCGAUCUCCAAGACCAUCCUCCCAAGCGCCUGCGCCGCAUCUGCCUCUACGCUCCUCUGCAAGCGCGGUAUCCACGCUACCCUGGGAAUCCGGUGCCGCAUGCUGUGGCCUGCAACAACCAGAUGCUGCUCGUUAUUGUGUAUCGCGGACCACGCCAGGCCGUGAUACUUGCGGAAGUGCACUGCCCGGAUUGGGAUGCCGACCGCCUCGACCUCCGGGAGGACAAGGUGUCGGAUCUCGGCGACUACUCGCUCUUCCUGGGCCGGGGUGACACGCUCGCGCUCUCUGCAAAGGAGUUCCCAGCCAUCAGGAGAAAUUGUGUCUACUUUGUGGAGCAUGAUACAUACAAGCAUGAGGCGUGGGUGGUUGUGUUUGAUUUGGGGUCAAACGAUUUGGAACGAACUCCCCACCCACAAGAGCACAGGGAGGGCGGCAGCAAAAGCACUGGCUGGCUGGCAUAUUCCUGGUUCUGUCCCAGAAGGCCCUUCGUUGGGGAGCAGGCCCUAUGA
rnacentral:rRNA from 1 species